UCAAUUUGUAUGGCUUUCUCCAUACAUUUCACAAUAUCUUUAAUUAAUUCGAUUUUUUCGUCAUACUCCAUUUUCUAAAAUAUUUAAAUUAUAUUAUGUAUAUUUGUAUACAUAUUUGCAAAUUACUUGCCAAAAGAUGAAAUUAAAUUUUUUAAAUAUAUUCAAAAUAUUAAUUUCAAAAAAUAUACUCAAAUGCAACUAUGUACUACGAAAGAAAGAACACGAAUGCCGAAAAACGUCGCAGCGAACUGCUACGAAUGAGAACACAAAGCGAGUUGCUGAACACUGGAAACUCGGCGCGAUUCUCCUCUCCUCGUCGCCCCCUCGCCUAUAAACCAAGAGUUGCCGAGACAAAAGUUGCUGCGUGUAAUAAGCGAGUUAAGAUUAACGAAGAGAAAACUGUUUUCGUAAAUGGAAAGCGGAAUGGCUCCAUUACUAUGCUCACUAAACAUUUUAUUUAAAUAUGUAUGUACCUUUAAACUGAUAUAAAUAUGUAAUUUAAAUACGAUUUUUAUUCGUAAUUCAUAAACAUUUAGAGCUAACUCAACAAUACAUUGUCAGAACAUUGAUAUAAUUAUAAUCACGUUGAUGUGUUAUCAUUUUAUUCGACAAGUUAAACCGUUAUGUACAUGUUUGUCGAAUUCGUCCCAUAAAAUGAAUAUAUUUGCGAUUUCUAAACGACGCUUAAAACUCCGAUUCGCGUAUGAGCCCGAUGUAUUCAGCGGCGUUUUCCAGAAACAGUUCCUUAGCUGCUAUAUUGGAGAUUUUGGAGCCUUUUUCUUGCAUUACGCUGCAUGCAUAAUGACUGAGUUUUCACGAAAAAAUGCGUUGUAUGAUAGCAAUGGUCUGCUUCCGGUCAUCUUCAACACCAACCAGCUGUGAAUACUAAGGAAGAUGUGCCAAGCCAAGAUUUGCCAUUUUAUGGUCUUAAUAAUCGUCCUUUAUUCUCUGAUAUUCUUUGAAUUGAAUUUGAAUAUUGGAUUCAACUGGCAUUUACCUAAACAUUUGAUCUAUGAAAUAAGAGGUUUUUAAAUAAGAGCGCUAUACAGGGUUUUUGAAAUAAACCAAAAACGGUUUGGGAUA